ACCGCCUCACUUCCUAAAAAAAGAAAAGAAACAGACAGCACAAUGCAGUGCUGCCAGCUGCUGUCUUUGGAGGUGAACUCGUGAACUGAUUUAAAGUCACAGAAAGAAAGAAGCUGUACCUGUCCCGGCAGCAGCGGCAGCCAUUGUUAGACCAGCCAGCUGUGUGCCGUGCCGUGCCGUGCCGUGCUGCGAGAGUCUGCAUAUCCGGGACAGAUAGUUUACAUGAAAGCACGGCGAACUUCUGCACCGCUCCAGCAUGUCCGUGUUAACAGCCAGCACAGCUAACUACCUGUGGUCCUUACACGAUGUCCUCGGUCAAGGUGCUACAGCCAGUGUCUACAAGGCACGCAAUAAGAAAUCGGGUGAGCUGGUAGCCGUCAAAGUGUUCAAUGUGGUGAGCUACAACCGCCCACACGAGGUCCAGAUGAGAGAGUUUGAGAUGCUGAGGAAGCUCAACCACAGCAACAUUGUCAAGCUGUUCACCGUGGAAGAGCUGCCCUCCAAACAAAAGGUGCUGGUCAUGGAGUAUUGUUCAGGAGGAAGUCUGCUCGGCCUGCUCGAGGAGCCAGAAAAUGCCUUUGGCCUGCCUGAAACAGAGUUCCUCACAGUUUUACAGUGUGUAGUUCAGGGGAUGAACCACCUGCGGGAAAACGGAGUGGUGCACCGGGACAUUAAGCCAGGCAACAUCAUGAGGCAGGUCGGGGAGGACGGCAAGUCUGUUUAUAAGCUGACCGACUUUGGAGCAGCAAGAGAGCUGGAAGAUGACGAGAAAUUUCUGUCUAUCUAUGGAACGGAAGAGUAUCUGCAUCCAGACAUGUAUGAGCGUGCCGUGCUGCGGAAGCCUCAUCAGAAAUCCUAUGGCGUGAGCGUAGACCUGUGGAGUAUCGGUGUGACGUUUUACCACGCUGCCACUGGGAGUCUUCCCUUCAUACCGUACGGAGGACCUCGCAGGAACAAGCCCACCAUGUACAAAAUAACGACAGAGAAGCCUAUGGGGGCAAUAUCUGGAAUACAGCGGGUGCUGGAUGGACAGAUAGAGUGGAGCUACCACCUACCUCACAGCUGCCAGCUCUCACAGGGUCUGACCGUGCAGCUGGUUCCAGUACUAGCAGGUAUACUGGAGGCUGACCAGGAGAGGUGUUGGGGUUUCGACCAGUUCUUCACAGCCACCACAGACAUACUGCAGCGGCAGCCAGUUCACCUCUUCGCUCUGCAGCAGGCCAUGGCGCAUUGCAUCUACAUACACCACUACAACACGGUGUCGGUAUUCUACGAGGAGGUGGCGUCCCAGACUGGCAUAGGAGUACAGCUGCAACAUCUGCUGUACCUGGGGCACGACCUGCCUCUGGAGGGCAACAUGAAGGUGGUCAACCUCCCGAGUACUUCACCUACACGGCCCCUCAUCCUGCUCAGCUACGGGAUCGAAGCAAAUACCAGCCUGCCCUUCAGGGAACCGGAGACUCCAGUCAUCCCAUCCAGGUUUGAUGUAUUGGCAGACUACAACUACUCCAGGGUGAUAGUGGGAGUGGUGCACCAGUAUCUGAGGAUAGUACAGUUGCUGCACACACACCGAGAGCUGCUGCUGCAAGGAUACUACAGCUACAUGAUGAGGCUGCGAAAGGAGUGUGGAGAGGCGAUGCACAGCAUAGCGAUGAUCACCAUCAGACUGCAGUCUUGCCUCAACACAGAACACAGGAUUCACACAGUAGGCCAUAACUCUUCAGAAAACCAAGGUCCGGUUGAUAACAGUCAGAAGCUGCAGCUGGUCCACGAGCACCUGCCCAUGUACGCCGCUGGCAUCCAAGAGUUCCAGAACCGACUGGACCAUCUGCAGAUAGAGCAGGCCAAGUUAGCAGAGGCGCUGGCCAAUGACAAGAGCUCUCAGAAGAUGGAGAUGCUGCUGCAGAAGAUAACGACAAUUCAUCAGCAUUAUCGUAAAGACAGACUUACUGGCAAGUUGGCAUAUAACGAUGAGCAAAUCCACAAGUUUGAGAAAAUCCACCUGUCGUCCCACAUUAAGCGUGUGAAAUCUCUCUUCAGAGAGGACUGCGUGCAGCGAUACAAAGAGCUUUUGGCCUCGACAAAGACUUGGAGCGGUGUUUUACUGGAGAUGCACACCAGACUGCAGGACUUCAGCUUCUUCUCCAAAGGCUUGUUAGCAGACCUGGAGAUGAGUGAGCAGAACCAGAACAAGGUUUUGGACAGGAUCCUUUUCAGCAUGCAGUCCAAGAGAGCAGGACAACAACAGCCUGCAAUCACACCCACAGACAAAGACCAGAUGGUCUCUAGGAUGCACCGUCUGAAGGAGGAAAUGGAGAUCUUGGUGAGGGAACUACAGUGCAACAACAGCAUGAUUGAGAGUCUGGGAGCGGUGAACUCUCCUGCAGCUCUGGAGCCGAGUCUGGCCCGACCUUCUACCCUGUGACGUGCAGCAUCUCUGAUCUUAACUCACACACUCGCCCCGACAGGCACAAGGUUUUUUUUUUUAAUCGCCUCUCACGGACACUGACGGCGGGUGUGCUGGAUCUUCUUUCAAGGACCGGCUGCGACCCGUGGUGGCUCAGGAAGAGGAAGCAGCCAAAGACGAUCAAUAAAAUGUGAAGCUCGGUUUAGAGAUAAGAUGCAGAGAACAGAGGAGGAGGAAACGCCACUGAUAGGUCUUUAAUCUGUGUGUGUGUGUGUGUGUGUGUGUGUGUGUGUGUGAGAGUCUGAGAAGAGGUUACUGUCAUACAUCUGUUGUGUCACAUUGAUCUGCCCCCCCCCCCUGUGCAAGCCUUGUUCAUCAGCCUUGAUGCCUCCUGGCAGCUCAUUUAUCAUGUGAGUGGCUGGAACACAGAAUAAGCAUCAUCCUACUGAAAACACUGUUUGGUGAGUGAAGAUCCAACGUGAAGUUUAACGCGUUCGUUAAUGUUUGUUAACCUGAGGAUUCAGAUUCUACAGAAGCUUCUCCUCUGCGGUGCGUGGGAGAGGUUUCCGUAGAAACAAUGCUGAUAUUUUUGCACUAGAAUGAGUUCAUGUGUGUUUGUGUGUGUGUGUGUAGAGACCGUUUUCCACGGUACCACAGUUACCAUAGCAACUAAUGGUUUUGUUGGCACCGUACACACUUCCUAACAUUUGGUUUUGGUCUAUAUUCAGUUACAGUAUAACAGCAGCAUGUACAGUAUUACUCAAACAGGGCGGUGUUAGGUGGCCCUUGUUUGCAGUUGACUCAUGAAGGUGCACGGAUGAUUUUCUCUAAGCGAAAAAAAAAAAAA